AAGACUAUACUUUCAGGGAUCAUUUCUAUAGUAACUGACUAGGAAAUGUGAUUUGUAAGUGUAACGUCUCCCUAAUCACGAUGAAGAGGUUAGAUGUGCUUUCCUGAGCGUGAAUCGGAUUUAAUCUAAUGAUUUAUGUCACUGGGUUAAAUUAUUGAUGAACGUUUUCUGGUCUAUCCGGACUAAGAAAGGGAAAGUACAUGAUCAGAGUGGU